UACGUAGGGGGCAAGCGUUGUCCGGAAUCAUUGGGCGUAAAGAGCGUGUAGGCGGCCCGGUAAGUCCGCUGUGAAAGUCCAGGGCUCAACCCUGGGAUGCCGGUGGAUACUGUCGGGCUCGAGUCCGGAAGAGGAGUGUGGAAUUCCUGGUGUAGCGGUGAAAUGCGCAGAUAUCAGGAGGAACACCAAUGGCGAAGGCAGCACUCUGGGACGUGACUGACGCUGAGACGCGAAAGCGUGGGGAGCAAACAGGAUUAAGAAACCCU
rnacentral:rRNA from 1 species